UUGGAGGGCAAGUCUGGUGCCAGCAGCCGCGGUAAUUCCAGCUCCAAUAGCGUAUAUUAAAGUUGUUGCAGUUAAAAAGCUCGUAGUUGAAUUUCGGGGUCAGCAGGUUGGUCGUGCCAAUGGUAUGAACUGGCCUUGCUGAUUCCUCCCUCUUGAUGAGCCGUAAUGCCAUUAAUUUGGUGUUGCGGGGAAUCAGGACUGUUACUCUGAAAAAAUUAGAGUGUUUAAAGCAGGCAAGCGCUUGAAUACAUUAGCAUGGAAUAAUGAAAUAGGACGUUUGAUCCUAUUUUGUUGGUUUCUAGGAUUGACGUAAUGAUUAAUAGGGAUAGUUGGGGGCAUUAGUAUUCAAUUGUCAGAGGUGAAAUUCUUGGAUUUAUUGAAGACUGACUACUGCGAAAGCAUUUGCCAAGGAUGUUUUCAUUAAUCAAGAACGAAAGUUAGGGGAUCGAAGACGAUCAGAUACCGUCGUAGUCUUAACCAUAAACUAUGCCGACUAGGGAUCGGAUGAUGUUAAUUUUUUAAUGACUCAUUCGGCGCCUUACGGGAAACCAAAGUGUUUGGGUUC
rnacentral:rRNA from 1 species